rnacentral:rRNA from 1 species
GUGCCAGCAGCCGCGGUAAUACGUAGGUGGCAAGCGUUAUCCGGAAUUAUUGGGCGUAAAGCGCGCGUAGGCGGUUUUUUAAGUCUGAUGUGAAAGCCCACGGCUCAACCGUGGAGGGUCAUUGGAAACUGGAAAACUUGAGUGCAGAAGAGGAAAGUGGAAUUCCAUGUGUAGCGGUGAAAUGCGCAGAGAUAUGGAGGAACACCAGUGGCGAAGGCGACUUUCUGGUCUGUAACUGACGCUGAUGUGCGAAAGCGUGGGGAUCAAACAGGAUUAGAUAC